rnacentral:sRNA from 1 species
GCACUGCAGCCUGCACUUGGGGGCUGGGAGCAUCCCCAGGUCAUAAGAACAGAGUAAUAGAACAGAAUGAUCAGUUAACUCGAUACUCCAUGAAAGAACUGUAGAUAGAGAAGAAACUUUACGGGGUUUGGGGAGACCACAAUAAGAUGAAUGACACUCAAGAAAGUAAUGGGAAGAUUCUGAAACAUGUAAGCUUGCUCAAUUCAUAAAGCAAAACAAGUCGCUUGGCAUCAAAGCCAGCUCGGCUUGCUUAAAUCAAGUGAACUUGCUUAGCAACAAAACUAUGCAACAGAAACACAAGACAUGGCCCCAGACCAUAAAACUGUGGUGGCAUGAGACUUACAUCCGGUCUCACGAAUUCCGCU